rnacentral:snoRNA from 1 species
UCCGCACGCUGAAAGUCGAGUGAGCCUGCUCCAAAGGCUCUUUCGUUGAUUAUGUGUGCCAGAACAACGCCAUAGGUAUCAUUCUUCGUCUUCUUAGGCGCGGAACAUCUAAAUAUGGCUACAGUU